CGGGGCGCGGGGCAGCCCUGCCGCUGCCCCCGGGCCCGGCCUGGCCCUGCGACGGGGGCGCUUGCAAAGCAGCCCCCUGACACGUGCCCCCCAAGCGAGGCGGGGAGGGGAUGGGGGAAACCUCCUCCUUUCCCGCAAAGCAGUUGCACCCUCCCCCCCCCCACCUCUGAUCCUCCAGCAACUCCGCGCAGAAAGUCAAGUCGCGGCGGCUUGCAGCCUCCCCGCCCGGCUGUCCCAGCCGGCAGCAGGGCCUCAGGAGUCCCGCGGGGGGUGGCGGUCUGUCCCCGGCGUUGUCUGGGCUCCUCGGUGCCACCAGCAGCGCCUUCACCCCGUGCGGAUUCGGAUCUCUCCGGCCUGCUUCUAAUUCCGCAGCGGAACAAAGGGAAUGUGGAAAUGAAAGAGAGAGGGAGAGAGAGGCUGGCAGAUGUGAUGAGAUGCGGUGAAGGUGUAUCCAGCUUGGCACUCCCACUCCUCUCUGCUCCUCUCAUUGCAGCCCUGGGUGACUCUCAGGCUAACACAAACAGCUUUUCUUCCGCAGCCUGCCCUCUGUCACUGAGGAUGCCCGAUUGCCACUGA
rnacentral:lncRNA from 1 species